CCUACGGGAGGCAGCAGUGAGGAAUAUUGGUCAAUGGACGAGAGUCUGAACCAGCCAAGUAGCGUGAAGGAUGACUGCCCUAUGGGUUGUAAACUUCUUUUAUAUGGGAAUAAAAUGUUCCACGUGUGGGAUUUUGUAUGUACCAUAUGAAUAAGGAUCGGCUAACUCCGUGCCAGCAGCCGCGGUAAUACGGAGGAUCCGAGCGUUAUCCGGAUUUCUUGGGUGUAAAGGGAGCGUAGGUGGAUUGUUAAGUCAGUUGUGAAAGUUUGCGGCUCAACCGUAAAAUUGCAGUUGAAACUGGCAGUCUUGAGUACAGUAGAGGUGGGCGGAAUUCGUGGUGUAGCGGUGAAAUGCUUAGAUAUCACGAAGAACUCCGAUUGCGAAGGCAGCUCACUGGACUGCAACUGACACUGAGGCUCGAAAGUGUGGGUAUCAAACAGGAUUAGAUACCCCAGUAGUC
rnacentral:rRNA from 1 species